rnacentral:rRNA from 1 species
UACGUAGGGUGCAAGCGUUGUCCGGAAUUAUUGGGCGUAAAGAGCUCGUAGGCGGUCUGUCGCGUCGGAUGUGAAAAUCCAGGGCUCAACCCUGGACCUGCAUUCGAUACGGGCAGACUAGAGUUCGGUAGGGGAGACUGGAAUUCCUGGUGUAGCGGUGAAAUGCGCAGAUAUCAGGAGGAACACCGGCGGCGAAGGCGGGUCUCUGGGCCGGUAUUGACGCUGAGGCGCGAAAGCUAGGGGAGCAAACGGG